AACAUCGCGCACCUGCGGGAACCUGCGGAGGGAUCAUUACCGAGUGUGAACCCCCCCGUAAAAAAGAGGGGUUACCUCCCGUCCUUUGCUGGGAACCCCUUUCCAACUUGGAAGGAGGUUGUUUUCAGACCCUUCUGCUUCGGUGGGGUAACCCACCGGAACAACCUCAAAAAUAUCCUCAAUUCAAAACCGUUCAGUCCGAGAACUUUUUUGAAAAGCGAAAAAACUUUCAGCAACGGA
rnacentral:misc_RNA from 1 species